rnacentral:rRNA from 1 species
UUCGCAAUGCCCGAAAGGGUGACGAAGCGACGCCGCGUGGGUGAGGAAGGCCUUCGGGUUGUAAAGCCCUGUCAGGAGUUAAGAAAUGUAGACUCGCUAAUAUCGGGUCUAUUUGACAAAGGCUCCAAAGGAAGCCACGGCUAACUCUGUGCCAGCAGCCGCGGUAAUACAGAGGUGGCAAGCGUUGUUCGGAAUUAUUGGGCGUAAAGAGCACGUAGGUGGAUUUGUAAGUCAGACGUGAAAGCCCUCUGUUCAACGGAAGAAUUGCAUCUGAAACUACAAACCUUGAGUGUAGGAGGGGAGAAUGGAACUUCUGGUGGAGCGGUGAAAUGCGUAGAUAUCAGAAGGAACGCCGGCGGCGAAAGCGAUUCUCUGGCCUAUUACUGACACUCAGUGUGCGAAAGCUAGGGGAGCAAACGGGAUUAGAUACCCCGGUAGUCCUAGCCGUAAACGAUGGGCACUAAGUAGAGGGGUUUU